GUGUGUCACAGUACCCGCAGAAUAUUACCAAUCAGGGAGAUUCACCUGAGCCUUUGUGCAGAGUUUAUACUGAGGUUUGAUCACAUACUGCCCAUGUGGCUGACCUUUGGUCUCCAACCCCUCUGGUUUGUCAGGCUCAUGGCUUUAGUCCCAGUUCCUCUGGAGGUAGCAACUAAUACCGAGUGUUCCGGAGUCCUCCAUCACAAAGCACACUAUGAGGCUGUGCAGCGGCCAGAUUCCCAGGCAAACAAAGACACUCCCAUCAGACAGGCCAUUCAAGGGACGAAGAGAUCCCCACUCAGUAGCACAGAGCAAAGGCAUGACCUCUAUUCAGGCCUUAGCCUCCUCCCUGCCUGGCUGACUCCUGGGCUCACCACUCCCCCAUCCAGCCCCUUGACCACAUCCCCACUCCUCCCACCACCAGGACAGUGGGCUCUGCUGCCUGGCUCAUCAGCCCAUCAGAACCUCCUCCCUUCCAGAAGGCUGAGCACUCUAGAGCCUCAUGGAAUUCCAGGGGCAUAGAAAGAUCUCACUCUAUCCUGGACCAGAGAUGCAAAUAGGGUUCAUCUCCAGCAUCAGCAAGGUUAAUGGUGGUGACUGCCUGGAGCCCCACCUGGGAAAGGAAGCUUCCACAGGUCCUAGAGCAGCGCAUGUGCCACACACAGAUAUACCAUCCCUCUCUUAUGUUCUCUGAACUGGAAGUCUCCUCACUCAGCAGCUAGACCUAGGGGGUUCCCAAAAUGCCCUAUCAGCCAUUAUGAUCUGAUUUACUUUGAGAAUGUGCUAAA